rnacentral:rRNA from 1 species
UACGGGGGGGGCAAGCGUUGUUCGGAAUUACUGGGCGUAAAGGGUGCGUAGGCGGGUCUUUAAGUCAGGGGUGAAAUCCUGGAGCUCAACUCCCAGAACUGGCCUUUGAUACUGAAGAUCUUGAGUUCGGGAGAGGUGAGUGGAACUGCGAGUGUAGAGGUGAAAUUCGAUAGAUAGUUCGCAAGAACACCAGUGGCGAAGGCGGCUCACUGGCCCGAUACUGACGCUGAGGCACGAAAGCGUGGGGAAGCAAACAGGGAUUAAGAUGACCCGUG